rnacentral:rRNA from 1 species
AGUGAACGCUGGCGGUAGGCCUAACACAUGCAAGUCGAACGGCAGCACAGUAAGAGCUUGCUCUUACGGGUGGCGAGUGGCGGACGGGUGAGGAAUACAUCGGAAUCUACUUUUUCGUGGGGGAUAACGUAGGGAAACUUACGCUAAUACCGCAUACGACCUACGGGUGAAAGCAGGGGAUCUUCGGACCUUGCGCGAUUGAAUGAGCCGAUGUCGGAUUAGCUAGUUGGCGGGGUAAAGGCCCACCAAGGCGACGAUCCGUAGCUGGUCUGAGAGGAUGAUGAGACAGACUGGAACGUAGAGGCGGCGCGGGCGCCGACGUGCGGCGCCAGUGCGGGAUGUUGGAGAAUGGGGGCGAGCUUGAUCCAGCCAUACGGCGUGGUUGAAGGAGGCCGUCGGGUUGUCAGGCGCGUUGGUUGGGAAAGAAAAGAAGCAGGUUAAUACCCGGGUGUUCGGACGCGACCGAAAGAAUAAGCACCGGCUGACUUGGUG